CUUAAAAACAUAGGACACUACUAUCUGAGAAGCAGAUUUUUUUUGACACUUACGUGAGUUUAUUGGAUUGGGUAAACUAAUUAGCCCUAUGUAUCAGUUUGUGGUGUGCGAUUCUAAUGCGUGCUUUUUCUGUUGUUGUCAUUAUCCUCAGGAGAUCAUUCAACUGUUGGAUUCAUGGCUUGCUAGAAUAGAUGAUUUGUGAAUCCAAUGUGUUCUUUUGCUGUUGUUGCUAGGUUGUUAAUUCAUCAAAGGCGGCUCCUGAGUAUACAUACCGUGUUUAUCUCGCCUGCCUUCUUAGGAAAAAUCCUAUACUCAAGGUAUCAUUCGAAGGGGCGACAUACCCAAUUCUCGGAUUCCUCAAGCAACAGAUGUAGUGUUGUCAGUCUCUGAAGAUUCGAAUCCGUCUGCUCCUAGGCAAAAACAGAGGGAUGAUUGGGAUAUACUAAAAGCCACAGUGUAUUGAGGCUUAGUGGAGUCAGUCACCAGCCUCUUCGUGUUUGAACAACAGCAUCAAGCGGCGCCAAAACAUGUCAGUUACUUUCAUCUUGGGCAUAGCCAACCUUAUUGGUGGACUGACUCUCAUUUUUCAGAAUAUUGCUGAUCUGAGAGAUAUCCGAGACAUGAACGAGGAAAAAAUGAGAAGGUCGUCCACUAUUGGCUCAAGCUCAGGAGGUGGUCGAAAGCCCGGCUCCACAUGGUUCUAGCACUACCGUCACACAUGGUGUUCGAGCCACUUCCACCAGUGCUCUGCGGGUUGUCGUUCCACAAGAGCAAUGACGGGGAGAACAAGAUGAUGAACGUCGCCGGUGCUUUGCUCGCCUGCAUCACGCUGCUUGCGCUCGGGACGUGCAUGUCCACAGAAGAGCCAUGACAUACUUCAAGACUCUAAUUUACUGCCUGACCAUCGCCGUGAGCUUGUCCGGGAUAUCGUACGUUGCCGGUGUCCUGAUCACGAGGCUUCUCAAACACUUUGGCACCAUCGAUCUAGGUGGUGCAUUGGCUCCUCAUACUUCUCUAGGCCUGUUGUUCUCUCAUUUAGGUCGUGCACAUACGUCUGCCUAGGCCUCAAUAAUCUAAUGGCUAAAGUUCCUCGGAGCACUGAUGGUAUAAAAAGAGAAGACAUGUGUGAGUUCAAGAGAAAGUGCAUGAAGAAACAUCUGCUGUUUUAUUGAAAUUCUGGUGUACAUACUAUCAUUUAUGUCAAAAUGUGUGAUCUUGGUCAGUUGAGUUCAUCUGUAUCGUGGAAUAUUACUAUCAGUUAUUUUAGAGCAGG